rnacentral:rRNA from 1 species
AACUUUUAACAAUGGAUCUCUAGGCUCUCAUAUCGAUGAAGAACACAGUGAAAUGUGAUAAGUAAUGUGAAUUGCAGAAUUCAGUGAAUCAUUGAAUCCUUGAACGCACCUUGCACCUUUUGGUAUUCCAAAAGGUACGCCUGUUUGAGUGUCAUGAAAAUCUCUCAUCAAAUUAAUUUUUGGUGGAUGUUG